AUCUGCAUAACAGGGAGCUCGUGUGCGGGCUGAGAGGAAGUCAUCAACUUCGACCUAUACCACCUGAUUUGGGUAAUGCCAACGUAGGGAAAUAUGCGGAAGGAAACA
rnacentral:ncRNA from 2 species